rnacentral:lncRNA from 1 species
CUCCUAGAUGAAGUAUAGUCCUUGUCUUUUGUUUUUGGAUUGAAAGGGUUGGGAAAGUCUAACCCAGCAUAUUUAUUAAGUAGAAUAGUCCAAGUCACGUGGGUUAGGGUUGUAUAUUUCGUGUGGUAUGGAACGAUCGAUCUUCUUUUGCAUUGCCAAAUGUUGGAUCACAUUUUGCAUCGAUUUCAAAGCAUAAUAAAUCUCUUCUUUCAAUCUACAGUAUAAAGCACGAAAAUCACAUCAUGCUUUGCAAGCCAUGCAAAAUG